CGGCCGCGUCGACGAAGAAUGGUCGGCAGAGUAACUGUUGUCGGCGUGACGGUAUCCAACCAGAAAGCCACGGCUAACUACGUGCCAGCAGCCGCGGUAAUACGUAGGUGGCAAGCGUUAUCCGGAUUUAUUGGGCGUAAAGCGAGCGCAGGCGGUUUUUCAAGUCUGAUGUGAAAGCCCUCGGCUUAACCGAGGAAGUGCAUCGGAAACUGGGAAACUUGAGUGCAGAAGAGGACAGUGGAACUCCAUGUGUAGCGGUGGAAUGCGUAGAUAUCACGAAGAACUCCGAUUGCGAAGGCAGUCUGCUGGGUUACAACUGACGCUGAGGCUCGAAAGUGCGGGUAUCAAACAGGAUUAGAUACCCUGGUAGUCCGCACAGUAAACGAUGAAUGCUCGUCCUUGGCGAUAUACGGUCAGGGACCAAGCGAAAGCAUUAAGCAUUCCACCUGGGGAGUACGCCGGCAACGGUGAAACUCAAAGGAAUUGACGG
rnacentral:rRNA from 1 species